GCCGGGUGCGGUGGCAUGUGCCUGUAAUCCAAGUCACUGGGAGGCUGAGGUUGGUGGAUCAAGUGAGCUGAGGAGCUCUGGGCUGCAGCACACUAUGUUGAACGGGUGUCCACGCUAAGUUCGGUAUCGAUAUGGUGUUCCAGGGGGAGCCCGGACCACCAGGUUGUCUAAGGAGGGGUGAACCGGCCCAGGUCGGAAACGAAGCAGGUCAAAUCCCCCGUGCUGUCCAGUAGUUGGAUAAUACCUGUGAGUAGAUGCUGCAGUGCAGCCUUGGCGAAACAUCGAGACCUAAUCUUUC
rnacentral:SRP_RNA from 1 species